AAUAGAUACCCCGGUAGUCCAUGCCGUAAACGUUGGGCACUAGGUGUGGGGCUCAUUCCACGAGUUCCAUGCCGCAGCAAACGCAUUAAGUGCCCCGCCUGGGGAGUACGGCCGCAAGGCUAAAACUCAAAGGAAUUGACGGGGGCCCGCACAAGCGGCGGAGCAUGCGGAUUAAUUCGAUGCAACGCGAAGAACCUUACCAAGGCUUGACAUGCACGGGAAGCCACCAGAGAUGGUGGUCUCUUUGGACACUCGUGCACAGGUGGUGCAUGGUUGUCGUCAGCUCGUGUCGUGAGAUGUUGGGUUAAGUCCCGCAACGAGCGCAACCCUCGUCCCAUGUUGCCAGCGGGUUAUGCCGGGGUACUCAUGGGAGACUGCCGGGGUCAACUCGGAGGAAGGUGGGGAUGACGUCAAAUCAUCAUGCCCCGUUAUGUCUUGGGCUUCACGCAUGCUACAAUGGCCGGUACAAAGGGCUGCGAUACCGUAGGUGGAGCGAACUCCGAAAAGCGGUCUCAGUUCGGAUUGGGGU
rnacentral:rRNA from 1 species